rnacentral:rRNA from 1 species
AUUGAACGCUGGCGGUAGGCCUAACACAUGCAAGUCGAACGAGUGGCGGACGGGUGAGUAAUGUCUCGGAAACUGCCUGAUGGAGGGGGAUAACAACUGGAAACGGUAGCUCAUACCGCAUACCAUCGGAUGUGCCCAGAUGGGAUUCGCUUGUUGGUGGGGUAACGGCUCACCAAGGCGACGAUCCCUAGCUGGUCUGAGAGGAUGACCAGCCACACUGGAACUGAGACACGGUCCAGACUCCUACGGGAGGCAGCAGUGGGGAAUAGUGGACAAUGGGCGAAAGCCUGAUGCAGCCAUGCCGCGUGUGUGAAGAAGGCCUUCGGGUUGUAAAGCACUUUCAGCGGGGAGGCGUUACCCGCAGAAGAAGCACCGGCUAACUCCGUGCCAGCAGCCGCGGUAAUAC